UGGGUUUAAUGAUCCACCCAGUUGAC
rnacentral:piRNA from 1 species